rnacentral:rRNA from 1 species
AUUGAACGCUGGCGGAAUGCUUUACACAUGCAAGUCGAGCGGCAGCGCGGGGCAACCUGGCGGCGAGCGGCGAACGGGUGAGUAAUGCAUCGGAACAUGUCCAUGUCGUGGGGGAUAGCCCGGCGAAAGCCGGAUUAAUACCGCAUACGCCCGAGAGGGGAAAGUGGGGGACUCGCAAGGGCCUCACGCGAUUGGGUUGGCCGAUGUCCGAUUAGCUAGUUGGCGGGGUAAGAGCCCACCAAGGCGAUGAUCGGUAGCUGGUCUGAGAGGAUGAUCAGCCACACUGGGACUGAGACACGGCCCAGACUCCUACGGGAGGCAGCAGUGGGGAAUUUUGGACAAUGGGGGCAACCCUGAUCCAGCCAUUCCGCGUGAGUGAAGAAGGCCUUCGGGUUGUAAAGCUCUUUUGUCCGGAACGAAACGGUACGGGUGAAUAUCCUGUGCUACUGACGGUACCGGAAGAAUAAGCACCGGCUAACUACGUGCCAGCCGCCGCCGUAACAC